rnacentral:rRNA from 1 species
CAUGUCUUUUUGAUUAUAAUUUAAGGUUUAAUCUGCUCAAUGAGGUUUUAAAUUGCCGCGGUAUUUUGACCGUGCAAAGGUAGCAUAAUAAUUAGUUCUUUUAUUGGGAGCUGGAAUGAAUGAUUGGACGAGAAAAUUACUGUCUCUGUUAAAUUUUUAUUUGAAUUUAAUUUUUAAGUUAAAAAGCUUAAAUUUUUGUUAAAGACGAGAAGACCCUAUAGAGUUUAAUAUUUUAUUAUUAUUUUUAGUAUUUGGAAUUGGUUAUUAAUUUUAUACUUGAAUAUUUAGUUGGGGUGACUAGAAGAUUUAAUAAACUCUUCCAAGAUUUUUAUCAUUGAUUUGUGAAUUUUUAAUCUAGAUUUUCUAAUUUUAAAAUAAAUUACCUUAGGGAUAACAGCGUAAUCUUUCUUUAUAGUUCUUAUUGAUAGAAGGGUUUGCGACCUCGAUGUUGGAUUAAAAUUAACUGUUGGUGCAGCAGCUGAUAGGUUAGGUCUGUUCGACCUUUAAAAUUUUACAUGAUCUGAGU